AACGAACGCUGGCGGCAGGCUUAACACAUGCAAGUCGAGCGCCCCGCAAGGGGAGCGGCAGACGGGUGAGUAACGCGUGGGAACGUACCCUUUGCUACGGAAUAGCUCCGGGAACCUGGAAUGAAUACCGUAUGUGCCCUACGGGGGAAAGAUUUAUCGGCAAAGGAUCGGCCCGCGUUGGAUUAGCUAGUUGGUGGGGUAAUGGCCUACCAAGGCGACGAUCCAUAGCUGGUCUGAGAGGAUGAUCAGCCACAUUGGGACUGAGACACGGCCCAAACUCCUACGGGAGGCAGCAGUGGGGAAUAUUGGACAAUGGGCGCAAGCCUGAUCCAGCCAUGCCGCGUGAGUGAUGAAGGCCUUAGGGUUGUAAAGCUCUUUCACCGGAGAAGAUAAUGACGGUAUCCGGAGAAGAAGCCCCGGCUAACUUCGUGCCAGCAGCCGCAGUAAUAC
rnacentral:rRNA from 1 species